rnacentral:tRNA from 1 species
GCCCUAGUAGCUCAGAUGGAUAGAGCGCGGCUUUCCUAAAGCUGAGGUCACAGGUUCGAAUCCUGUCUGGGGUA